UGGGGAAUAUUGCACAAUGGGCGAAAGCCUGAUGCAGCGACGCCGCGUGAGGGAUGACGGCCUUCGGGUUGUAAACCUCUUUCGCCCGCGACGAAGGGAAACUGACGGUAGCGGGAGAAGAAGCACCGGCUGACUACGUGCCAGCAGCCGCGGUAAUACGUAGGGUGCGAGCGUUGUCCGGAAUUAUUGGGCGUAAAGAGCUCGUAGGCGGUUUGUCGCGUCGACUGUGAAAACUGGGGGCUUAACUCUCAGCUUGCAGUCGAUACGGGCAGACUUGAGUUCGGUAGGGGAGACUGGAAUUCCUGGUGUAGCGGUGAAAUGCGCAGAUAUCAGGAGGAACACCGGUGGCGAAGGCGGGUCUCUGGGCCGAUACUGACGCUGAGGAGCGAAAGCGUGGGGAGCGAACAG
rnacentral:rRNA from 1 species